GUCUACAGCCAUAUUGCCUUGAACACUCCCGAUCUUAUCUGCUCUCAGAAACUAAGCAGGGUCAGGCCAGCUUAGUACUUGGAUGGAAGAAU
rnacentral:rRNA from 1 species